rnacentral:rRNA from 1 species
UACGUAGGAUGCAAGCGUUGUCCGGAUUCAUUGGGCGUAAAGAGCGUGUAGGCGGCCAGGUAGGUCGGUUGUGAAAACUGGAGGCUCAACCUUCAGAGGUCGACCGAAACCAUCUGGCUAGAGUCCGGGAGAGGAGAGUGGAAUUCCUGGUGUAGCGGUGAAAUGCGCAGAUAUCAGGAAGAACACCCGUGGCGAAAGCGGCUCUCUGGAACGGUACUGACGCUGAGACGCGAAAGCGUGGGGAGCGAACAGG